CCACCGGAAGGAGAGAGAAGGUGCUGCCCCGCGCCCCCACGAGGGAGGGCUAGGUGCGUCUGUACCGUAGUGUGAGGCGGUUCUGUGGCCACCGGCCGGGCGGGCUACAUCGGCCCUCUAGUAGGCAGACUGGCUGGUGUGUCGGGUUUCGGGGAGUUUGGCGGGGAGCCGGCGUAGAGGUGAGAGGUCGGCGUAUCUGUCGCGGGGUCCGCGUCACCAACGUGCUGGGGCUCGUUCUUGGUGCUCAGCUUUCUUGACUUCGUUUGAAGAAAAACAAGCGCGGUGGUUCACGGAGCUGCGGUGGGGGUAUAUGCGGAAAGGAGAAGUACCCGCUCAGCGUGAGGUUUAAGGAGGAAUAAUGCAGCAGGUGACUUUCACAGAAGUGGUGGCCUGGGUCGCCCAGGGCUGCGACGCGAGGGCCGGUAAGAAUCGGACGGUCUGAACCGGUGGCUCCUGCUUGAGGCAGCGGCACCUGUUGCGUUAAUGUGGAAACAUGCCCGGCCGGCUGGUCAUUUUUAAGCUUCCUGAAUCCGCCGGGGAGGUCAUUCGGUGUCAGAGGAGGAAGAGCCAUCUGGGCCCUCCCCACCUCGGUUCAGUUUAAAUUGAAGGCAUAUAGUGAGAGGAGGCGGGCUGAAAGGUCGCCGAGCCGGUCAGUGACAGAGGCAGGACUAGGGGUGAGAUUUCUUCGUUUCCAGCCUAGACUUCUGUCCUCCACAUCUUUUUUUUUUUUUUUUCUUAAGAUUUUAUCUAUUCUUGAGAGAGGCAGAGACACAGGCAGAGGGAGAAGCAGGCUCCAUGCGGGGAGCCUGAUGCGGGACUCGAUCUUGGGACUCCGGGAUCACGCCCCCCGGGCCAAAGGCAGGAGCUAAACCCCUGAGCCACUCAGGGAUCCCCUCCAAAGAGCUUUUUAUGUGAGAGAUAUAUAGAUAGCUCUAUCUAUAUAUCAGUAUUUUUAGUGUUGGAGAUUAAAACUGAGACAGGUUUUUAAACAAGAAUAUACAAGCAUAUACUGUUGUCAGAGUUAUGAAUGUCCUCACAUGCAUGUAGCCUCUGGUUAAACUCUGCUCUGUAGGUUCGUGGAAUAAGUGAAAGGGCAAAUAAUGUCUCAGUAUUAUGAAAGUAGUUGUGACCUGACUAAGCCUCUAAAAGGGUCUCAGGGGCCCCCACAAGAACCACACCCAACAGAACAACUGCUCUGGGCAAAUGGUCCAAAGAAAUCUGAGAUGAUGUAGACAUGAUUGCAAUUGCAAGUGGUGGUGACACGAGCAGAAGUAUUACCUUAAAAAUGCAGUAACAAGAAAGGAUCUUUUAUUUCCAGGACAUGUAUAAUUCCAGGCACGAGGAACACAUUAUCCAUUUUGUGUUCUUUUCAUCUCAUUGAUUUGUAUAGUGCUUCAGACAGUGGUUCAGACUAACUUCUAGAGAGUCAGGGCUAAGGAGAGACUCCACCCAUUGAGUGGAUUUGGACAUGCACAGGCUGUAGGCAGUUUCUACACCACUCAUUCCCCUGGCCAUUUAACUCUUGCUCACCUUCACCACCUGGGACCACAGCAGGUUACAGUCUGCACCUCUCAUCUCUCACUUCCAGAACUCGAGACUUCAGUGGAUUAGUAACUGCACAGAAAUGUACUCACUAAUGAAUUCAAUAAUUAUUACAGAAGUAGGUAAUGUUGAAAGUGCCUUUUACUUGACAGAAAUCCUUGGUAGAUAGUUAUAUGUGGUUAUUUUGGAGAGAUUGGCUUGAGAUUCUUUAAGGGCUGGGAACGUAGUUUUCCAAUAAUGAAAUAAUUUUAAAAUAAUGAAACCUAGGAUCUGAAAAUUCUGUCAGCUUUUUAGGAAGGGAUGAGAUUUCAAGAAUGAGAGGUGCCUCAUUUGUAGGAUUUUGUAGGAUUUUCAUCUAUGUAGGAUUUUCACCCUAUACCUGAUACAGAGAAGUUUGGCUAUAAUUUUCUGGGGGUGAGCAAGUCUCUCCCGUAAAAUGAUUUUUAAAAGACACUUGACAUUUGAGAAGGUUUAGCCUAUGGUUUUUAUAAGUCCCUGGGGUUAUCAUUACCUUUUCAGUAUAUCAUUUCUCCAUGAAAGUCUUAGAUUCUAAGACCGUAGAGAGUCAUGGUGUGGUGUGCUUUCAGAUCAGGCUU
rnacentral:lncRNA from 1 species